rnacentral:rRNA from 1 species
UACGUAGGGGGCAAGCGUUGUCCGGAAUCAUUGGGCGUAAAGCGCGUGUAGGCGGCUUGUUGCGUCAGCUGUGAAAACCCGCAGCUCAACUGUGGGCUUGCAGCUGAUACGGGCAGGCUUGAGUUCGGUAGGGGAGACUGGAAUUCCUGUGUAGCGGUGAAAUGCGCAGAUAUCAGGAGGAACACCGGUGGUGUAGACGGCUUUCUGGACCGUAACUGACGCUGAGACACGAAAGCGUGGGUAGCAAACAGG